rnacentral:rRNA from 1 species
AUUGAACGCUGGCGGCAGGCUUAACACAUGCAAGUCGAGCGGGGGAAGGUAGCUUGCUACUGGACCUAGCGGCGGACGGGUGAGUAAUGCUUAGGAAUCUGCCUAUUAGUGGGGGACAACAUCUCGAAAGGGGUGCUAAUACCGCAUACGUCCUACGGGAGAAAGCAGGGGAUCUUCGGACCUUGCGCUAAUAGAUGAGCCUAAGUCGGAUUAGCUAGUUGGUGGGGUAAAGGCCUACCAAGGCGACGAUCUGUAGCGGGUCUGAGAGGAUGAUCCGCCACACUGGGACUGGGACACGGCCCAGACUCCUACGGGAGGCAGCAGUGGGGAAUAUUGGACAAAGGGGGGAACCCUGAUCCAGCCAUGCCGCGUGUGUGAAGAAGGCCUUAUGGUUGUAAAGCACUUUAAGCGAGGAGGAGGCUACUUUAGUUAAUACCUAGAGAUAGUGGACGUUACUCGCAGAAUAAGCACCGGCUAACUCUGUGCCAGCCGCCGCCGUAA